rnacentral:rRNA from 1 species
GAUGAACGCUAGCUACAGGCUUAACACAUGCAAGUCGAGGGGUAACAAGAGAAAAGCUUGCUUUUCUUGUUGACGACCGGCGCACGGGUGAGUAACGCGUAUCCAACCUGCCUAUAACUAGGGAAUAACCUUGCGAAAGUAAGACUAAUGCCCUAUGACUUCCUUUGGCGGCAUCAAAAAAGGAAUAAAGAUUUAUCGGUUAUAGAUGGGGAUGCGUCUGAUUAGCUUGUUGGCGGGGUAACGGCCCACCAAGGCAACGAUCAGUAGGGGUUCUGAGAGGAAGGUCCCCCACAUUGGAACUGAGACACGGUACAAACUCCUACUGGAGGCAGCAGUGAGGAAUAUUGGUCAAUGGGCGGAAGCCUGAACCAGCCAAGUAGCGUGCAGGAUGACGGCCCUAUGGGUUGUAAACUGCUUUUAUACAGGGAUAAAGUUAGCCACGUGUGGUUAUUUGCAGGUACUGUAUGAAUAAGGACCGGCUAAUUCCGUGCCAGCCGCCGCGGUAA